GCCGGCGACGGUCAAUCUGGUCGACCGCUAGGUUGAGAGCCUAGUGUCUAAUAAGACAUCCGGGUUCAAAUCCCGGCGCCGGCG
rnacentral:tRNA from 1 species